rnacentral:misc_RNA from 1 species
GUGAGUCAUCGAAUCUUUGAACGCACAUUGCGCCCUUUGGUAUUCCAAAGGGCAUGCCUGUUCGAGCGUCAUUUGUACCCUCAAGCUUUGCUUGGUGUUGGGCGUCUUGUCUUUUGGCUCUUUGCCCAAAGACUCGCCUUAAAACGAUUGGCAGCCGGCCUACUGGUUUCGCAGCGCAGCACAUUUUUGCGCUUGCAAUCAGCAAAAGAGGACGGCACUCCAUCAAGACUCCUUCUCACGUUUGACCUCGGAUCAGGUAGGGAUACCCGCUGAACUUAAGCAUAUCAAUAAGCGGAGGA